AAUUGAAAACGUUCUGCAUUAUUGUUGCUAUUAUUCAUUAAAAUUAAGCAAUAUUGUUACUAUUCACGUAAAAGUUUGUUCAAAAUAUGACUAUAUGUUUAUUUAGAAUCAAUGAUAUAUAAAACUAUUUAUCUACGACACCGUAUGCAAUAAUUUGAUAGCACAUUGUUUCUUUACAAUUUUGUAUAUUCCAUGCUUGAUUUUUCUUCGAAAAAAAAAGUAUAACAAACCGUAUUUGACUCGAGAUUUGACUAUCAACACAUAUAGUUAUAAUACGGAAUAUAGCAAUAAUAUGAGCAUGUAUAAUCUGAUGUUUGUUAUGAUUCCACGCAUACUCUACAGAUUAUAUCAUUCUAUGAUACACCUAUGAUAAGCGUUCUAUUGCUGCAGUAAGUGUGCGUGUCCUUUGAACGACGGCAGCAUUAUUUUAUUGCACGGCUUCCAUGUUUUUUCUCGUGCGGGCAAAACUGGUUCACUGUUUCCAGCAGUCGUGCAUUGUUUUGUGCUUAUUUUUUUAACAUUUGUGAUUAUUGCACCAAUAAAAGGGAUCUGGUGUUAUUUGCAUUUCCAACAGUCUGAAGUAAAGCGGCUCAUUGGCACCACGAAAUAGAUUUCAGCGAGGGUUUGAAUUUUUACAUUACUAUUCUUCGGGAUGCGGCUUUCCAGGAGCCUUCACUUGCUCACAGCAAAUAAAUGGCGAAACACUAUACAUUUUAAAUAAGGAUUCAUUUUAAAUAAGAGUACUUUUUAAUAAAUCAUAAUUAAAAUGCAAUGUGUUUGUCUUGUCUUCAUUUAAUAAGUGGAAAAUACCAUUUUUGUUUGCUUCUACUAGAAGAUAAGGGAUACGGUGCGUCGAUUUUUUUCUUCAUAUCAUUCUACUGUUUACAUAUUGUAUCCCUUAUUGUUUCAUCUAAAAACAAGUAUUGUAACUGGACCGUAUCACAAACUGUGCAGCUAAAAAAAUGUACUGGAAAAUGUCAUUUUUUGAAUGGUAAUUAUACUUAACCGCCCAUUACCCACGUUGUUGAUUCUUCAAAUACAAUGUAGCAAACUGUUAGAACCGUGUAUGUUGAGGUUGGUUUAUAAUUUGUAUAAACAGCAAUCAGUAUAGUUGGAGUGAUGUUAUUUAUAAGCAAGAAUGAUAUGAGAGAUGCUCUAAUUAUGGUCCACAAUUAU